rnacentral:lncRNA from 1 species
ACGACCACAAAAUCAGGACAAGAUCUCUAUCAUCAAAGAAAGAAAUCUGGUGAAAAUGAUAUAUCUUGUUCUAGACAGUACUACAGUCUGUACUUAAUCAACAACGUUGAUUUGUUGUAAGUAAAAAAUCUUCCUGUUCUUAUGUCAAUUCUGUCAGAUUUACGUUCUUAAUUGUUUUCAUAACAGCUGCACCAGCUGGUUGCAGGGCAGCAAAGGGUAUGUGUUUCAUUGAAAGUCAAACGAUUCAGCAGCCACCAAGGGCCACCAAGGGCCACCUUUCCCCUCGCCAUUACUGCAACAAAUGUUGACGGACGGUGGACCAACAAAUAUGCAUAUCACAAUCCAUGUUCUCUGCAUUUACUUGUGGGGUAAAAUACAAUAUAGGAAUUCAUUGCUGUCUUCCAACUACCAAACUUCUUGCACUAUUGUUGAUUCAGUCCACUUGACCACAUGAGUUCUCUACAAAAAGUGUUUGUGCCGAUGCGGAAAUUGGAGCAGUAAUCAGACGUCAAUUUCAGAAGUAACAAAGAUCCGAAUGAAUCAGAAGUAACGAAGAUUCGAACGAGAUUCAUGUGUUGAUACAGCAGGUGUGGGAG